CGGGCCCGCUGAAAAUUGGAACGUCAUGCUGACCCAUAAUGCUCUAGGCGCGCAUGCGCAAAAGUGAGCUGCGCCUUUGCGGUCCGUGCUCGACAGUCAGUCUUGCGGACGCGCGAUUCACGUUUAGUGCGCAGUUUUGGAUGUGCGAACCGACCGAAAUCGUCGACGGUCGUAUGUUUAAUCGUGAUAUUUGACGGAAGAACUUGAUCUCUUAUGCGGUCGACUGGUGCCUCGUGGUGUGACGCUUUCUGCUAAGGUCGUGGUGGCACGUUUCGCUAUGUCGCAAGUGCUUUGGUCGCGAGAGGCACAGUGACGACUCGCCCGUGAGACUGCCGACAUCCUCGACAGCCCUGUGAUGGAGUCUAUCAGAAAAUGGUUCUACAGGCCUAAGAGGGACGACACGAGUCUGCUCGCACAGUUUUUCUACGCGGACGAAUCGUUGAACGCGGUCGCGUGCGAAUUGGAUUCGUUCGACGGUCGCCAGGAGCCGGAGCGAUGCACCACGUUGGUGAAUCAGCUGCGCCAUUGCCAGGACAAGGUGUUGACGAUAUGUAGCCAAAUAAUGGACGACCUGAUACCCGAGAGCCGAGCGAACCGAGACUUCAGAGUGAAGUUUCCCGAUGACGUGAUGCAGGAGAAUUUAGCAGGACAGCUGUGGUUCGGUGCGGAAUGUCUCGCUGCAGGAUCCUCCAUCAUGAACAGGGAAGCUGAAAGUUCAGCGAUGAGACCACUCGCUAAGGCUUUGACAAAGUCGUUGGAUCUCGUCAGGAAUUUGCUCAGAGAGCAUGCGUUGAAAGGUCACAUGAACCUCAAGUAUCUCUUUCAGACGCAGAACCCUUUGGAUCCGUCUCUAGAGAAGCUGAUCGAGUCGUUGAAGAUCUUCGAUCGUCUGUUCGCUGAUUUUGAACUGUGCUACGUGGGCGCCAUGGUGCCGGUGAAAUCGACGAAAGAAUACGAGCAGCAAGAGCUUGUGUGCGUUUUAUUUUCGGAGACGUUGCAGAGAGCACUCGAGCGCGGUUUGCUUAGCCAGGCUGAUGUGGACAAUUACGAGCCAGCCCUGAUGUUUACCAUUCCUCGUUUGGCGAUUGUUUCUGGCCUCUUGGCUCCACCCGGGGGCCCACUGUGCCUCAAUUCCCCGGACAACAUCAGCGAAAUGUUUAGACCUUUUAGGACGCUUCUUUUAAAAAUAAGAGAGCUUUUGUGGACGUUAAACAACCGCGAACUGUACAUGUUGGAGAAGCUGUUGUGCUCGAACGAGGAACCGUCGGCUCCGCUCACGCAGUCCUCGAAGUCCGCGUGCCAAGACAUUCCAGACCUCGAGGAGUUCGUUCACAAUUUUUAUACCGGUUACCCGAACUGCAAAGACUUCAUCGUAGAUUUUUACACAGUGACGAGAAACACCGGGAACAACAUGGACGAGGUGGCGAACGACGUUGUCCGAACGUUGGACGACGAAAACGAGGACGCGAAUCGUUUAUCGGAACGGAACAGCGAUCAGGAGAGUGAGAGAUACGAGACCAAGAAUAGUAGUAUAGAAAUUGGGCCUAAUCGCUUAAACAUAUCUACGGACGUGUUUGAGGAGACUGUGAUGUGUAACGGUGAUGGGAGGACAUCCAGUGAUCGGGACAGUGUUCGCGACGAAGUGCAAUAUCACGUUAAGAAAGGGUGUAGUAGUUCGAGCAACGGUAGGAGAUCCUCUUGCGACGACGAUAGUCCUCGCUCGAGGAUAAUCGAGGUGAACGCGAAUCUUUUGAUAGAUCAAAGCAACGCGAGCCAAAUCGUCACCGAAGACAACGUUUCCAGCGUGAACGAGAACAGACGUGACGACCAACUGCAUAAACAAGAGGAACUAACCGCUUCUGAUAUAUCCGAGAUACUCGGCACUUCGGAGAACAUCGAAAUCCCACAGACACAGUACCUGCUGAACCAAGUAUCGCACGAGAACAAUGUGUCCGUUGAUACCGUGCACAUUCAGAACUCUUUGCCGGACCUCGACUCGAGGAAACUCAUUUCGGAGGCAAAUAAAACGUUAUCGAACCUCCUGCUAGACGGAGAGUGCCAGAACGAGAUCUCCGAGCAAACUGAUUCAGGAAUUUGCACAGUAAUUUCAUCGGAGAACACCAGCCUCUACGAUAAGAGCCCCGAAGAGAAGAAAACGUUCGCCAACGAGAUACAACAGGAUGAGCAGGUGUUGGACGAUGAUGACACGCAAGAGAAUACCAGUUACUCGUGCUCGAAUCUGAACUCCCCGAAGAGGAAAAGUUCUACCAUAUCGGACAACUCGUGUGUCUGUAGCUUGCGGAAUGUAAAGACGGUCCCUUGUCUGGACCACUCCAUCGAGGUACACAAUCUGCACGCGGCUAACACGGAAGGAGCGAAGAACGUUCCAAGAAUAUCGUCGAAUUUCGAUGGAACGAACGAAGAGUUCGUCGGGGUUGCCUAUGGCAAUGGACAGAUAUCCGUGUGCGAUUCGAACCAGUCCAGCUUCCAGAUCAACUACUCUGAGAACUGGGAGAACCUGAACCUGAGUAUCGACGCGUCCACGUCGAGGAGGGAAUUCUGGAGCGAUUUAAAGUGCGAGAAUUGUCCAUCCACGUCUCAGAACAUGGACAAGGUCGGCACGAAAAUCGAGCAGUACGCGCAGGACAAAGUGAUCUCGAGGAAGGCGAGGGAUGAGAGACAGAAACGGCGACAUCAGCGUAAACACGAGAGGAACAGCCAAAAGAUCCAUCAGGAGAACAGAAUGCAGAACUUCCAGAACGCGAAGACGUCAGCAAGCACUGAGAGUUCUAGAUCAAACUCGACAGAUCGCUGUUUGAACACCAGGCUGAUCAGCUACGGUGCUAGUUUGCAUCCCAGCCAGAACACUAGACAAAUGCCGAACUUCGGGAGUCACAGUCCUCGUGCUAGUCCUAGGCUGCAACACUUUGAAACGCGUUGCACGGCUAGUCAGAGGAACUGCAGUAUCGCCUCCAGAACACAGAGAAACCUAUCCCCUCAGAACAGAAAGCUUCUGGAUCACAGAAGGUCUAGGUCCGAACAGAUGAACAGAAUAAAGAGGAGGGAUCUGGAGAAGAGGGACAAGUACGAACGGGCGAACCCCCGAGCGGAACAAACGAAGAGGAAAUUGGGCAGUAGAAGUCCUAGUGAACUGAUGAACGACGGGUUGGGACCAAGGACGGAUAAAAGUGGACUGGCGAACGAGCCGGUUUCUCCUACGACGACGCAGAGCUUCUCGUAUGGGACGCAAAAAGACAAUAACUCGCAGCGAGCCACGCGAGCGGUAAGACUGGUGAAUGCGUCCACGGUUCAAGGAACACAGUCGUUCAGCUCGGAUCAGUCGUCGUUGAUCCAGAAGCCGGAUCUAGGAUCCAGUUCUAGCUGUUCGAGUUGCUGCGAUUCCAGCUCGGAGACUAGCGAGUUCCAAAGCGAGUGUCAGGACGAUGAAGAAAUCGCUCUGGCCAUGCAGGCCGCGGAGAUUGCGAACAGAAAUCAGAUUCGGGCGAAAUUUCGAGGUUCCUACAAGAAAACAGUUUGAAGCAUCCUCUUUGGGUCUCAACAAGUUUCUUCACGUUGAAAAAUUAAAGUUAAAUAUCUAUAUGUAUAUUAAGAAAAUGUAUUCUAUUACUUGGUAAUUGUGAUGAACUGAUACUGUCGGUUUGCAUGAUUAUUGACAUAACUCAGAAAUCAUUGAUUUUACUUGAGAAAAUAAGCUCUAAAAGUAGGUCCUUUUAUCUGGAAGUUGAAAUGUGCAUAGCUGCCGCUAGAUGGCACCAGUACCACUGUUCCUAUUUUGCAAAUAGAAUGAGGAGCUGUUUUAUCUCCUAAGAAACAGUUAACAUUUCGAUAAAGAAAAGUCAUCAGAGGAUCUCGUGCAUCGAUUAUUUGUGUGCAUAGCCGGCGUAGCAGAUCAGUUGCAGACGAAUUUUGCGUCUGAUUUGAGA
rnacentral:misc_RNA from 1 species